CUGCCAUUCAGUACCUAAUUGGCAGCUUAAGUGUUCUAAGUCCUAUGUAAAAAUAAAAUCAUCCUGUGUUGUAAGGUUGGCUUUCUUAGUUGAACAGAUAUGUACAAUUACUUACCUCAGAAAUAUUU